CCCUUAGAUGUUCGGGGCCGCACGCGCGCUACACUGAAGGACUCAGCGUGUCUCUCCCCCUAUCCCGAAAGGGAUGGGCAACCCGUUGAACCUCCUUCGUGCUAGGGAUUGAGGUUUGCAAUUAUCCCCCAUGAACGAGGAAUUCCCAGUAAGCGCGAGUCAUCAGCUCGCGUUGAUUACGUCCCUGCCCUUUGUACACACCGCCCGUCGCUACUACCGAUUGGAUGGUUUAGUGAGACCCUCGGAUCGGUCCCGACUCGGGGUGGGCUUCUGCCCCGGUCGUGGUUUCGCCGAGAAGACGGUCAAACUUGACUAUCUAGAGGAAGUAAAAGUCGUAACA
rnacentral:rRNA from 1 species